UCGGGCGUACACGAGUGGCGAACGGGUGAGUAACACGUGAGGAACGUGCCCUUGACUUUGGUAUAGCACUUGGAAACAGGUGGUAAUCCCGAAUAUUCAGUUUCCCGGGCAUCCGGGUUGUUGGAAAGCUUUUUGCGGUCAGGGAUCGUCUCGCGGCCUAUCAGCUUGUUGGUGGGGUAGUGGCCCACCAAGGCCUUGACGGGUAGCCGGCCUGAGAGGGCGACCGGCCACAUUGGGACUGAGAUACGGCCCAG
rnacentral:rRNA from 1 species